GGAGAGGUGUCCGAGUGGCCGAAGGAGCACGCUUGGAAAGCGUGUGUACGGCAACGUACCGUGGGUUCGACUCCCACCCUCUCCGCCA
rnacentral:tRNA from 1 species